CCCUAAUUUUCCCCCUAAAAAUAAUCACCUCAGCACACUAUUACUCCCUCAGCUCUGCGCGAAAUCCUAAAGCAAUGCCUCCCAAAGUAGCUAAAUCCCUAGAAACAACGAACUCACCUUCAACCUUCUUCUUCAAACUAGGUCCCCCUCUCUCUCUUGCUCUCUCUUUGCUUUUUUGCCUGAUUUUUUUGUUUUUUUCUUAGAUGAGUCCCUGGACGGUUGGAGUCUUAUUGUUUCAACGAGGCAAGUGGGUGUUCCAGAUCCGUCAUUGAAGCUGGAAAUACAUAUUUCCAGGAUUUUAGGCAGUUUUUCUUGGUUGUUUUAUGGGCUUAAAUCGAAGCCGUUUAAGAUCUUCUGCUCCGUUUCACUCCAAGCCUUUGUUUCGUAGACAUCUUCAAUCCAUGAAGAUGCUGAUUUAAUUAUGUUGGCCUUGGCCACUCAUGAAGUUCACUUUUCAAUCCUUCGAGAGAUUGUCUUCACCCCUGGGCAAGAUAAAUGCUUCAUAUGCGGUCAGAUGGACCAUAUAGCAGCAAAUUGUGAAGGAAAUGCAAAGAGGAAGGAAUGAGAAUUUGAUGAGAAAGCUGAUGGAAAAGCUGUGGCCAGAAAGCCAUAUCAAGUUACUUUGCAAAUGAAUUUACAGUUGGAAUUAUUAUAAUGAAUUCUUUGGAAAAAUUAGAACUUGUUAUUUGCUUCAUCUUUGCAGUUCUUGAACAUAUGGACCCUUAGGGAGUAUCUGGAAUAUGAGAUGAGAAUCCCCAAUCCUCCUUUUGAAAAUGACUUGGAAGACUUGGAAUGCAUUGUGGAUGAUUUUAUAUUCAUAUGCUUCUUUAUUGGCAAUGAUUUCUUACCUCAUAUGCCUACACUCGAGAUUCGUGAGGAUGCAAUCAACUUGUUAAUGGCAGUAUACAAGAAGGAAUUUAGAUCAUUUGGUGGUUAUUUGACUGAUGGAAGCAAUGUGCCUAUUGAUCUUAUGCGUGAUGGCCACUUAUUAUUCCAGUCAUCAAAUUUCAUCUAGUAAACUAAAGCUUUUGACUGUAUGAUUUUUAUUUCAGCCUAAUUUGAGCAGGGUAGAGCAUUUUAUCCAAGCUGUGGGGUCCUAUGAAGAUAAAAUAUUCAACAAAAGAGCACAGUUGCAUCAGACUUUCAGCAGCAUGAUCCCAAAAUUGUCAAACAAAUUAGUCAAAUGCAGGUGAAUCACCUUGGACUAAAUUUGACCAAAGAUGAUCUGCAAAACGUGGUUGAUUUAAUGGAGCGAUAUGGUCAGAUAAGCAAUGGAAUAGAAUAUCUAAAUCCUCCCCUUGAUAUCAGUAACUAACUUGCUUGUCAUUUUAAAUAAGCAAGUCAAUUGCUAUUAAUAAUUUUCUGUUGGAUUCUUUUUGGACUGAAAAAUAAUUUCUGGGGAUAGUCUAAGAAUCUUAAAUUUUAUAGAAAGCCAAUAAAGUGCUUGCUGGAUGAAA